CACUUAGCUGACUGAGCUACCCACGUGCCCCUCCAAUACAUGAAAAUUUAAGUUUCAGAAUUUAUGAAGUUGAAACUCAGAUCGAUCUACCUUAUUUCAAGAUGGUGACACUUGAGAAGUCUUCAUGAACAAGCCCCCUGUCAGUAGACUAAGUUCCUUGGAGGAUUCCUUUCUUUCCUAUGUAGUCGCUCCUCCAUGCCUGGCCAGUAACAGGCACUCAAUAUUUGCCAAAGGGAAGAAGAAUCAUCACUGGGAACCAGUCAGAAAAGAGAUUAUCAGAAAUUUAAGGUGAGAAAAUAAAUCUUACAUAAUGGCAUUGAUCCAGAUGUUAGAAGAAAAUAAUGAAAUUUCUCUGUCUAUAUAAAUAGUACAAAGCAAAUAUGUGACUAAAAAGUUCGACACCCAUACUAAACCCACGCAGGAGUGAACGGAGUCCCAGCGCUCCAGGAGCUGACAGCUGGGGAUACGCACACAGGUAGCCACAACAAGGUGGAACACAGGAAAGCAGGGCGCUGCACUUGUCCCUGGCCUAUCUCUGGGAACAUCAGAGGCUCUGUGAAGGAAGGCCGUGCCUGAGAUGGGCUUUAAAGUAUGAGCAAAAUUCCAACCAGCAGAUGUGGGCAGUUAGACACGAAGGAGCACCUCGAGAAGAGCGGGGAAGCAGGCCGUUUCUAGGGAAGCAGGCCGUUUCUGGGGAAGCAGUGAGUGGGCUGGCUGGAGCACUGAUGAAGCACAACACAGGAACCGGGAGCCACGCAGGCAGGUGGAAAGAGCUCAGAUCACAGGAGGGUCUGAGCCUCAACACGGAGUCUGGAUUAAUGGUUUGUUCAAGAUGUUGGUAGGAAUGACUGACCUGAGGGGCCCACAGGCGGCACGACAUGGUGUGCAGGAUGAGUUCCACCAGUGAAGUGACAGGUGUGGGAGGCCGGUCACAAUGCAGAUGCGACUCUGACGACUGCCCAGGCAAAGUGGUAAACACAUGAUAAUCUCGUUUCACAACCACCAAUGCGUUUGCACAAGCGCCUGUUAGGCCCAGUGGCUCCACGUGACAAAACGGGAAGCAACCCAAGCCUCUGUGGGCAGACCAAAUGGACGGUCCACAGAAUAUUACGCAGCCUUUAAAAAGGAGGGAAACUGACACAACAUUACAACAUGGAUGAACCCUGAAGACCUUAGGCUGAGAUAAGCCAGCCUAAAACCCGUA